GCACCAUGAAUCAUGUCCCUAGCGUCUUCAUCAUCACUGAAGGUGUUCUUCGUUGGAGCUGAGGGACCUCUCCGUUACUCAACGUCACUGCUGUUCGAUUUGGGCCCAUAGGCGGUAGCUCACCUUCUUAUUUUGGGUUGAUAUGGGCUAUUCAACAUCACGAGGCGCGUUUUCUUUCUUUGGCAAGGCCUUUUGGCCCAACUAAACAGCAAGCUGGGUCGUCUCCAUUCUGAAGUACUGCUGGCUCUGAACUUUGUUCAUUUUUUUAGCUCUGACCUGAUUUUUUCUGAAGACGACUGGCACGCACAUUUCUGCUGUGUGGUGUUCACGUUCUGUACUUUCGAAUACAAAUUAAAUCGUGACUAGUGCCAUGCCAUUUCCCUUAUCAACAUGGCAAACUUCAGUGUCAAAAUGCAUCUUAAUCC
rnacentral:lncRNA from 1 species